UACAGAGGUCCCAAGCGUUGUUCGGAUUCACUGGGCGUAAAGGGCGCGUAGGCGGGCCCGCAAGUCAGGGGUGAAAUCCCACGGCUCAACCGUGGAAGUGCCUCUGAUACUGCGGGCCUCGAGGGGGGUAGGGGCGUGCGGAACUUCCGGUGGAGCGGUGAAAUGCGUAGAUAUCGGAAGGAACACCGGUGGCGAAAGCGGCGCGCUGGACCCCUUCUGACGCUGAGGCGCGAAAGCCAGGGGAGCAAACGGG
rnacentral:rRNA from 1 species